rnacentral:rRNA from 1 species
UUUCCAGACUCCUACGGGAGGCAGCAGUGGGGGAUAUUGCACAAUGGGGGGAACCCUGAUGCAGCGACGCCGCGUGGGUGAAGGAGUGCUUCGGCAUGUAAAGCCCUAUCGGCAGGGAAGAAGCAAGACGGUACCUGACUAAGAAGCCCCGGCUAACUACGUGCCAGCAGCCGCGGUAAUACGUAGGGGGCGAGCGUUAUCCGGAUUCACCGGGUGUAAAGGGAGCGUAGACGGCGACGCAAGUCUGGAGUGAAAGCCCGGGGCCCAACCCCGGGACUGCUCUGGAAACUGCGUCGCUGGAGUACGGGAGGGGCAGGCGGAAUUCCUGGUGUAGCGGUGAAAUGCGUAGAUAUCAGGAGGAACACCGGCGGCGAAGGCGGCCUGCUGGACCGUGACUGACGUUGAGGCUCGAGAGCGUGGGGAGCAAACAGGAUUAGAUACCCUCGUA